rnacentral:lncRNA from 1 species
AUGAGUUGCGGGGUGGGGAGGAGGGCGGUGCGUGCGCUAUGGGGCCGAGCCUCCUCUUCCUUGCCUUGCUGGCUGCGCUGGUCUCCUGCGAGGAGCCGGAAGGUAACGGGCUGUGGGGGGCUCAUAUGGGCUGGGCUCGUGCUACCUAUCUGGGGGGCUAGUGGGGAGGGUGAUGCUCAGCCCUUUGCCCCCGGGGCUGGGGCAGCAGAGCCRUCCCAGCCCCUCUCUGCCUUGCUCCCUGCGGUGCCAGGAGUCCUGGAUACCUACUGGUCUGGCACGGCGCCCAUCUGCCUGGGGGGCUGCAAGGGGAAGCACAAGGAGCUGAAGAGGAGCCAGUGCGGGGACGGCAGCUGCUGCUGGCUGGGCUACAAGUCCUUCUGCCGAGGUAGGGCCGGGGGGAGGCAGGAGGGGGCYGGGGAUGGCUGCAGGGCUUGGUACAGCCCGCCUGGGCAGGGAGGGUUUGGUGCCACGCGCAUGUGUGGAGCCUCUGUAGCAGCCUGGUCCCCGGGCCACGAGGGGACACCGGCAGUGGCCAGGGGCACCUGCAGCGCCUGCCCGGCACCCUGGCCCUCGCUCAGGACCUGCAGGGUUGCCCAGGCGUCCUGGGGAGCAGUGCCGGGGGAGCGUCCCCGCGAGGUGCCGUGCUGCCGAGCCGGCCGCGGGGGAUUUUGGCAUCGUGCUGUCAACGGGAACUUCCCUCUCCCCAGUGAACUGCGGGCGGCCCGAGGCGGACUUCAACUCCGUGGUGUACGGCAACGACUGGUGGGUCGGCUCGGUGGUGCGCUACAGCUGCCGGCCCGGCUUCCUGCUCCUGGGCGACCCAGCCAGCGCCUGCCAGUCCGACGGCCGCUGGACCCCCAAGCCCACCUGCCUCCGGAUCUGCCUGCGAGGCCGGAUCGAGAUCAACGAGCGGGACAUUACCGGGAGGUGCUCCUCGUCCUGCAGCACCCACCCUCUCCUGGGAACCUUCCUCAACCGCGGCUGCAUCAAGAUCUCGGCCUGUGUCACCAAGCAGCCCGGCUGGGCCCGCUGGUUCCAGCGCUGCGAUGUCUGCGAGUGCGACUGCCACGUCCCGUGCGCUUCCUCCGGGUAGAGCUGAGCUGGCCGGGGCUGCAGGAUCUGACUCCGCUCCGAGAGGGACCUCUGCCUCGGAUGAGUGCUGCCUUCCCUUAGCUGAUCUCCAUCACUGGGCUCCUUUCCCAGCUCCAUCUGCUGCGAGGCUGUCGGUGGGGAGGAGAGGAGAGAGCCGCCUGGACUUGCCCCUCUCGCAGGGCUGCCUUCUCGCCUGGCCCCCUUGCAAGGACCCCCCAGCGCCAGGGGAUGCUCAGCAAGCAGCAGGGGCUGGGGAGCUGCACUCACCUCCCGCAGCUGGGCCCAGGCAGCUGGGCAUCUCGCUUCCCCUGCUGUGUCCUCGAGCCGUGCACGCAGCUGGCCACGCGCUCCUCCCUGCCACCCGUGCAGGGCCCAGCGGGCCGCCCAGCCAGGGUAAACGUGUCCGCACCAGGAAUAAAGCGUUACCGUGAGACUCGCCGCCCCA